CUCAAGAGAGGUGUAAGCAACAACACAGCUUGCAGGCAGGAAAGGAAGUGUUUGGAUACUGAGACGGUCACCUUCUUUUGGAUGCUCACAAAGGAUAAAAAGCAUGUAGGGACAUCCAUCUCAGAUCAAAGCCUGUAUCCUGGUCCAGAAAAAGAGAUUUUCCAACUCCCACCAGUUGCACGUUGAGAAUAAACCUUUUUAAACAUG